rnacentral:lncRNA from 1 species
GGUUCUCCUGUUGGUGCGAACAACGAGCCACGUCCCCGUUACAGGCACCUAUUCCUCUCAUUUUGGAAUAUCUCCUCUCCCUAAAACAGUAUGGUUGGCGAUAUCUUCAAUUAGAGUUCACCUGGCCGCUAUAUCGGCCUUUCACCCAGGGGAACUCGCGUCUUCGGUAUUCUCUAACCCGAUGGUCGUUAGAUUCCUCAAGGGAUUAGACCGGAUGUACCCACAACAACGUCAGCCCGUUCCGACGUGGGACCUCAACCUGGUUCUCUCCAAGCUCACAGGUCCUCCAUUCGAGCCACUGGCCACCUGUUCACUUUUGUACCUAUCCUGGAAGACAGCCUUCCUCGUAGCCAUCACCUCAGCGAGGCGCGUUUCUGAACUCAGGGCGCUUACAUCCGAGCCCCCUUACACAGUUUUCCAUAAGGAUAAAGUGCAGCUUCGUCCACAUCCUGCCUUUCUCCCUAAGGUGGUUUCUCCUUUUCAUAUCAACCAGGAUAUAUUUCUCCCGGUCUUUCAUCCUAAACCACAUGCUACUCGCCAGGAUCAACGUUUGCAUUCUCUGGACGUACGCAGGGCCCUGGCUUUCUAUAUUGACCGCACAAGGCACUUAGAAAGGGACGUACGGCAACUCUUCGUUGCAGUGGCCGACCGAAUGAAAGGCUCACCGGUCUCCUCACAACGCCUAUCCUCCUGGAUUACGUCUUGCAUCCGGACUUGCUAUGACCUGGCAGGUGUCUCAGCACCGCACCUCACCGCCCACUCCACGAGGGCCCAAGCUUCCUCGACGGCUUUCCUGGCGCAAGUUCCGAUACAGGACAUUUGUAGAGCUGCGGUUUGGUCGUCAGUCCACACAUUUACAGAACACUAUGCACUAGUGCAGCAGUCCAGGGACGAUGCUGCCUUCGGAUCAGCAGUUUUGCACACAGCAAUGUCUCACUCCGACCCCACCACCUGAGUUGGGCUUGGGAGUCACCUAAUGGAAUGGAUAUGAGCAAGCACUCGAAGAAGAAAAGACGGUUACUCACCGUUGUAACUGUUGUUCUUCGAGAUGUGUUGCUCAUAUCCAUUCCAAACCCGCCCUCCGUCCCCACUGUCGGAGU